rnacentral:rRNA from 1 species
GACGAACGCUGGCGGCGUGCUUAACACAUGCAAGUCGAACGGAAAGGCCCUGCUUUUGUGGGGUGCUCGAGUGGCGAACGGGUGAGUAACACGUGAGUAACCUGCCCUUGACUUUGGGAUAACUUCAGGAAACUGGGGCUAAUACCGGAUAGGAGCUCCUGCUGCAUGGUGGGGGUUGGAAAGUUUCGGCGGUUGGGGAUGGACUCGCGGCUUAUCAGCUUGUUGGUGGGGUAGUGGCUUACCAAGGCUUUGACGGGUAGCCGGCCUGAGAGGGUGACCGGGCACACGGGAACGGAGGCGGGGGCCGGGCUCCUAAGGGAGGCAGCGGGAGGGAAGCGUCGGCGAUGGGCGGAAGCUUGGCGGAGCGACGCCGCGGGAGGGAUGGAGGUCUUCGGAGCGGAAAACUCUGUGAGUAGGGAUGAACAAGUGUGUAAGGAACGAGGCACGGCUGGACGGUACCUAAUCAGAAAACCACGGCUAACUACGGG